AUGAGAUCUGGUGGUUUUGUAAAGGACUUUUCCCUCUUUGCUAGGUACUUCUCCUUCCUGCCAUCACGUGAAGAAGAACAUGUUUGCUUCCCCUUCCACCACAAUUAAUGCAGUGAAGGUGACCUUCUGGAUUUCUGAGCCUGGGCCUGGCAACUUCUGCUUCACUUCUUGGGAGCCAGCUGCUUUGAAAGAAGAUUGAGCAAGACAGCUGAAAGAUAUGUAGAGAGAGAAGCCAAGAGAGUGCCCAGCUAUUCCAGUUACACCUACAGACUCACCACGUGUAUGAGUGAAGCCAUCUUGGACUUUCCAGCUGAGCUCCCAGCUAAAGGCAGCUGCAAGGGUGAUCCCAGCUGAUGCCAUGUGAAACAGAAGAACCAUCCACCUGAGCCCAGCCAAGGUGAUGCUGCUGCUGCUGGUGUAAAGAUCUUGGAUAAGGCUGCAUCUCCUGGGCGGAGGCACUGCAGUCCAGUGAGCAUCAGGGAAGACUGGACGACUGAUUCUCUGACUUCCUGUUGAACCACUGAUAGGAUCAAGUGGACUUGUUGGCUUAUUGGUGCUUAGAGACAUUGAGGAUACCCAAUAGAUCCUUUCCACAGAAUUGUGUAAAACUUCAGAACAUGUACAUUGUCAUUUAUGCUUUAUUUUGUCAAAUAAUUUUUGCCAUCUGUAUCAGAGUUGGCAAAGUGUGGCCUGGGGGUCAAAUCCAGCCCACUGACUGUUUUUAUAAAGCCUGCCAGCCAAGAAUGGCUUUUAUUUUAAAAAAAAAUGGUUGAAGAAUAAUCAAAAGAAGAGUAAUAUUUUAUGGCACAUGAGCAUUAUAUAAAAUUUAAAUUUCAGUGUUCACAGAUAAAGUUUUAUUGGAAGACAGCCAAGUUCAUUUGUUUACAUAUUGUCUAUGACUGCUUUCAUGAUACAAUAGCAGAGUUGACGUAGACCAUAUGGCCCAUAAAGCCAAAAAUAUUUACUGUCUGGUCCUUUUCAGAAAAAGUUUGCCAACCCCUUAUGUAUAUGAUGACUUCAACCUGCAAGUACAGAAUAAAGACAGUGAGAUAACCUGCAAAGUCCUCAUGAAGAGAAAAGGCAUGCACUAUUAGGUAUAUAAACCAGAAGUUAAACAUUACCAGAAAAAAAAAAAAAAUCAACUCAUAGAGAUGAGUUUUACAAAGCAGAGCUUUUAAAGAAGUCCUAAUUUCCUAGUCAAAACAAAGAGCUAAAAAUCAGAUUUCUGCUCUUGACCAAGAAUUAAAACCUUCCUUCCUUCCUUCCUUCCUUCCUUCCUUCCUUCCUUCCUUCCUUCCUUC